UGCUUAAUGACUCUUUCUGAUUGCCUAAAGCAAUGUGAAAAAUGCAUUUCACUGGCUCUGAAAGCU